ACUCUAUGAUGAACAUAAAAUGACAAGCAUAUGACUGAGUUAUAAGUGAUGUCAUCUUAAUCCUGAGGAGU
ensembl:snoRNA SNORD27 Small nucleolar RNA SNORD27